GACGAACGCUGGCGGCGUGCUUAACACAUGCAAGUCGAACGGAAAGGCCCUGCUUUUGUGGGGUUCUCGAGUGGCGAACGGGUGAGUAACACGUGAGUAACCUGCCCUUGACUUCGGGAUAACUUCAGGAAACUGGGGCUAAUACCGGAUAGGAGCUCCUGCUGCAUUGUGGGGUUGGAAAGUUUCGGCGGUUGGGGAUGGACUCGCGGCUUAUCAGCUUGUUGGUGGGGUAGUGGCUUACCAAGGCUUUGACGGGUAGCCGGCCUGAGAGGGUGACCGGCCACAUUGGGACUGAGAUACGGACCAGACUCCUACGGGAGGCAGCAGUGGGGAAUAUUGCACAAUGGGCGGAAGCGUGAUGCAGCAACGCCGCGUGCGGGAUGACGGCCUUCGGGUUGUAAACCGCUUUCGCCUGUGACGAAGCGUGAGUGACGGUAAUGGGUAAAGAAGCACCGGCUAACUACGUG
rnacentral:rRNA from 1 species